UACGAAGGGGGCUAGCGUUGCUCGGAAUUACUGGGCGUAAAGGGAGCGUAGGCGGACAUUUAAGUCAGAGGUGAAAAUCCCGGAGCUUAACUUCGGAACUGCCUUUGAUACUGGGUGUCUUGAGUGUGAGAGAGGUAUGUGGAACUCCGAGUGUAGAGGUGAAAUUCGUAGAUAUUCGGAAGAAACACCAGUGGCGAAGGCGACAUACUGGCUCA
rnacentral:rRNA from 1 species